rnacentral:rRNA from 1 species
GAUGAACGCUGGCGGCGUGCCUAAUACAUGCAAGUCGAGCGAACGGACGAGAAGCUUGCUUCUCUGAUGUUAGCGGCGGACGGGUGAGUAACACGUGGAUAACCUACCUAUAAGACUGGGAUAACUUCGGGAAACCGGAGCUAAUACCGGAUGAUAUUUUGAACCGCAUGGUUCAAAAAUGAAAGACGGUCUUGCUUUCACUUAUAGAUGGAUCCGCGCUGCAUUAGCUAGUUGGUAAGGUAACGGCUUACCAAGGCAACGAUGCAUAGCCGACCCGGGAGGGUGAUCGGCCACACUGGAACUGAGACACGGUCCAGACUCCUACGGGAGGCAGCAGUAGGGAAUCUUCCGCAAUGGGCGAAAGCCUGACGGAGCAACGCCGCGUGAGUGAUGAAGGUCUUCGGAUCGUAAAACUCUGUUAUUAGGGAAGAACAUAUGUGUAAGUAACUGUGCACAUCUUGACGGUACCUAAUCAGAAAGCCACGGCUAACUACGUG